rnacentral:misc_RNA from 1 species
AAGUCGUAACAAGGUUUCCGUAGGUGAACCUGCGGAAGGAUCAUUAACACGUAUCCAACGUUAAACAACCCUGUGAACUUUCAGACGCUCUUGUAGCCCAGGAGGAACAGCAAUCCCGGUAAAUCAAUGGCGGAAAAGUUUUGAUUCGGGACCUCUGUCCAAAAGGUAUCAAGUUACAAUCGAGCUAGGAGCAGUGGCAUGGUUUCCCUAAGCAGUGCAGAAGGAUCCACUGAGUAAGUGUCACAGGGCUUUACGCCCCUUCAUUCACCCCUUUGCCUAAUCAAGCCCGGGCAAAAAAAUCUGAACAACUGUUAACAAUGGAAAUCUUGGUUCUC